rnacentral:lncRNA from 1 species
ACUCCCCUCUCCUCCCAACUGUGUCCAUUCAUUCCUGCGGAGUCCGCACGUGGGCUGCUCUUCCUCUGGGUUCCCGCCCCUGAAGGCGCAGGAGGCUGUGACCACGCCCCUUUUGGAGCCUUCCUGGGCUCAGGGAGGGGCUUUGCCUGCGGCCUUGUUUCAAGUGUGGGAAUGGCCUCCUGACUCCCAAUCCGAAACAACUGCUGAGCACAGAAGGCAGAGCAGGGCCCUGAGAGUCAGAGGAAAAUGCUGCUGCGGGGACUGGGGAGCCCCAUCGGGUGACUCCCCAGAGAUGUGAGCAGGUGCAGAGGCUGGAACAACAGUGCUGCAGGAAAGUCUCUCCCGUGGAUGCUGUGGCCUGGGGCUUGGGUGACGACGUGCACGGCUGCCUCCUCGCUGUCACGUGCUCUGCUGGCUCGUCUCCAAGCUGUGCUGCUCAUGUUCCAAAGUCUCCCUGGAGGCUUUAGUGAAAAGCCCUUUCCCCGGUGACCUGGAGUGUCUUGCUAGAUGGAGCUGGCCAAGCCUGACGUCUUUUCCUGGCCGAUGCCUCAGUCCUUAUGCAAAGUGUGAACUUGGCCUUUACAUCCUUCUCCGCAGAGCACUGCAAGCAGCCAGUCCCACUGGAACAUAAGAUGAAGCUUUUGUUCCCAUGGCUGGAUACACUUUGGAUCUUGGAAUGCAAUAAUUACUUCAGCUGGAUCUGGUUCGUGGAGUACUUGGCCAGGGCUCUGCCUCAUGCCAUGGUCCUACAAGAUAUGUGAGGAGGUGGACAUCUUUGCGUAGCCCUCCUCCAGAGGCAAGUGGAUUCCUUCCAUAACCCAGAGAAGGCCGCUUGGGAAUGAGGCUGAGAAGCCAGACUUUUUGGCACACAAAGAAAAAGGGAGUUUUCAAAGUUGCCGCAAAUCAUGCAGGAAGAGAAAACAGGACAUUAGUGGACACUGAUUCUUCCCCUCUGCUGAACUCUGAGUCCAGUUUAAAUCUUUAAUAACAUAACACAUGGAGAAAAUUGCUUAUAUAAAAUGAUCACCUUUCUUUUAAAAAAAAAAAAUUAUAGAGACUGGGUCUUGCUCUAUUGCCCAUGCUGGAGUGCAGUGGCUUGAUCAUAGCUCACUGCAGCUUUGAACUGUUAGGCUCAUAUGAUCCCCAUGUCUCUGUCUCCUGAAUAGCUGGGACUACAGGUGGACACUACCAUGCCUAAUUUUUUAGUUUUUUUUUUUUUUGAGAUAGGAUCUUGCUAUGUUGCCCACGCUGGUCUUGAACUCCUGGUCUCAAGCAGUUAUUCUGCCUCAGCCUCCCAAAGUGCUGGGAUUACAGGCAUAAAACACCACACUCAGCCAGAAGAAAUUAUCAUCUUUCUAAAAUCAAACUUCUCUUAUAUUCUGGGAACCUACUGAGGAAGGCACAGAUUUAUCCUCUAGAUGCCAGAAGGCUAGAAUUGGGAAAGCUUCGAAGCUUAAACAGGGCAAAGCGUAGGUCAUAGAAGAAUGUAUUAUCUAUUGCUAUGCAACAAAUUACUCUAAAACUUUAAAAACACAAACAUUUAUUAUCUCUCAGUUUUUCUGGGUGAGAAUCUGGGUAUGGCUUUGCUUGCUGCUUCUGACUCAAGGUCUCUCACCUGUCAAGGCUGCAAUCAAAGUGUCGGCGGGGGCUGCAGUCUCAUCUGAAGGCUUGCCUGGGGAGAACACACUUCCAAGCUCACUGCCAUGGUGGAUGGAAAGCCUCAGGGGUACUGCAAUUGAGGGGAGAAAAUGGCCAACUUGAGCCAGGGUGCAAUGACAUCAAGAGGCCUGGGAGCUGAGGAGAAAAGACUAAGGAGCCUGAGGAAUGGAUGUGGGUCUGGAAGAGAGCUGGAAGAGUACAUGGUCCUGGGAGCCUCCUGGGGAAAGUGCUUUAAGUAGGAGGCAGAGACCAACUGGUUCCCAUGGUGCCAAUGAGUCAUGUGAGAUAAGGACUGAGAGUUGACAUUAGGAGUGGCAGUGGAGGGGCAUGUAGUGACUUUGACUAGAGCUAUUUCCAUGGGAUGAGGAGGGUGAGGGAAGCUGACUAGUGUGGGCUCAGUUUAUGCUGGAGGAGAGGACUGGGAGAAUAAUGCUCCUUCAUGUUCCUCAGUUAUGCUGUAAAGGGGAACGAGAAGCAGUAGCCGGAGAGGACUGGGGGAAGGGGCAUCUAGGUUUCAUCCAUGCAUCUGAUGGGAAUGAUCCUGCAAAGGGGAAAUGAACAAUGCAGGCGAGAGAAGCAAGCCCUGCUGGACACAUCCUUGAGUAGGCAGAAGCCAAUGUCUGGUGCAUAGGCAGAGGGCUGGCUUUAGGUGGGAAGGAUGGGUGGGAAGAUGAGCCGGCAUAGAAGGGGUAGAGGGGGCUUGCAGAAGCACUUUCUGAUGGUGUCUGUCUCUUCACUGAAAUGGGAAGCCAGGUUGUCAUUGUAGCCACCUCCCAGUGGGGCAAAGAGGAGGGAGUGAGAUGCCUCAUGAAAAGCAAUGCUUGGGGUCUGGUGUAGAGUAAUAACUCAGUAAAUCCAUUGUCUUCUUGCUUACCUCUAAGUUAUAGUGAUCACAUUUUCCAGACCAAAUAUCUGAACCUGGAAUCUGGCAGGUGCCUUAGGGGCCAAUGGGUGUGACUGAUUGAAAAAUCAGAAUGUCUCAGAAACACCUAGACUUUUAAUUUCCAAACAACAGACAUGAUAAGCAUCCAGGGCCUGUCAUGUAUAUUAUGGAACGUAAUGCCACUUUCUUUGGCCCUUUUCCAAAGCAGAUGAUAUCCCAGCACCAGGGAAAAUGGUUUCAAUAUCAAGUUGGGUCAGCAGCAUCUUUCUACCUAUUUCUGUCUUCGUGGUCUUUAUAUUUGAAAUAAUCAUUACUAUUUUAUGCAUUCUCUCCCCAUCCUGCAUUACAGAAGGAACGUUCCUA